rnacentral:rRNA from 1 species
UACGUAGGGCGCAAGCGUUAAUCGGAAUUACUGGGCGUAAAGCGUGCGCAGGCGGUUUGCUAAGUCCGAUGUGAAAUCCCCGGGCUUAACCUGGGAACUGCAUUGGUGACUGGCAAGCUAGAGUGUGGCAGAGGGGGGUAGAAUUCCACGUGUAGCAGUGAAAUGCGUAGAGAUGUGGAGGAAUACCGAUGGCGAAGGCAGCCCCCUGGGCCAACACUGACGCUCAUGCACGAAAGCGUGGGGAGCAAACAGG